rnacentral:misc_RNA from 1 species
UGGAAUUCAAUUAUUUUUUAAUGCAAAUCAAUAAAUAUUAUACAAAAGGAUCAUAUGCGUACAUCAAACAAAAAAAAAUAAAAGCUAAAAUAGGAGCAGAGGAGACAUUGCAUACAAAUAAAUCUUGAAGGACCUAUCACUGGCACCGUUUCCUUAUUCACCUAACCCAACUAUUUGCUUCGAUCCUACUUGCUAGAUAUUCGAAAAACCCAAAAUGUUCAAGGAAAAUCCUUUUUGAUUGUUCUUUGAAAUAACUCGGGCUUGACUCAACAUUCAACUCAAAAUGUAAAACAUUAUAACUCACAAUACACACUUCUAAGUUUCCAACAUCAGUGCUAAAUUAACCAGUAACUGUUAGGCAGUAUGGUUAAUUUCCUCAUGAACUAUGGCCUUUGGGAACCUUUACUUUCACCACAACCCAUAAUAGAGGAAGGCAAUUUUCCUACCCUGUCAAUCCCUUCCUCAAACACCACUCCCAUGCCCAUAAAGAAAUGUGACUCAAUAUGGCAAUGAAAUAACCAGGCGCCUGGAUUAUCUGCCUUAAAUCUCAAAGCAGUCCAACCAUAAGGAUGAAGAGGCACAGUAUUCUUCAUGAUGGGAUCCACCAAAUUGAACUUGUUCUGGUCAUUAUUUAUGUCAAACUUACCCUUUCCAUAACCUAGAACCCAGAAGUCAUGCCCAUGGAGAUGCCAAGGAUGUGUCUCGCUAGUGUUAUUACUCAUGGAAUUUGCAUUUUGUAAAAUAAUAUCUACUGUUGCGUUGAAGUCAAGGCGAUAAAUGGCAUCGCUAGUGGUAGCAUUUGUGUUCUUUGAAACAUUAUGAAUAUCAUAAUUCUGGUAGUCAUACCCAAUAGGAGGAGGGACUUGGCUGAACACAUGGUUCAUUUUGAGCUUCAGUGCUACAAGGUAAGGGGUGUGUGGGAGGUUGAAGGAGACAUUAUUCACUGACCAUCUAACAUAACCGUUCACAUGAUUUUGUGUGUUGAGCAUUACUAUAGUUGUAUCUGCGGUUUGGGGAGGUGUGUGGAUGUGAUCUUUAUGAGCUUUAAGGGCUAGACUUUGAGCAAACCUUGGUUCAACAUCAUCCCAUACAGGGCCAGAUGGUGGAGUAUUAGAAAGAAAUCUCCGGGGAUGGUUUGGAUAGUAGUUAAAGAUGGCUUGGCCUGGUGGGGUUGAUGGUUUUCUACUAACAACGUUGGUGGUCAUCCAAUAGUUUCUGGAGGGAUCUUUGUCAGCUUUUACUAAAACAGAGUAUGUCUCACCAGAGUAUAUG